rnacentral:rRNA from 1 species
CCUGAUUACAAGUGGGUUUGGAAAGCUAAGAUACCUUUGAAGAUCAAAAAAUUUCUCUGGCAACUGUUUCAGAAUGCUGUCCCCAUCAGGGACAAUAUGCAUAAAAGAAACUGGCCAGGGAAUCCAGUUUGCUCUUUUUGCCGUGAUGUUGAAACCAGUGAUCAUCUCUUUUUUGGGUGUGUGGUUGCCCGCUCGGUUUGGGGGUCUUUUGGGAUGGCCUUUGGGGCACCCUGUUGUCCCAAAUCUCUCUGGCAAAGUUGGGCUUGGCUGUACAAGUACCUCCCGGGUGCAAAACACCAUUAUAUGUCCAUUAUUGCUGCUAUUUGCUGGGGGAUUUGGUGCAUUCAUAACAAAGUGACUUUUGAAAAACAUAUCGUUCAUUCUCCAGUGGAGGUUGUUUUCACUGCUUGUUCCUUUUUGGUGCACUAG